rfam:Sporomusa malonica strain DSM 5090 genome assembly, contig: Ga0070592_112
CCUAACUCUACGUUUAAUAGGCGGGGGAAGUUCUCGCAUGAGAUUGAAAACCGGCAACUCACUCUAAUCCUCCGAUGUGCGCUGUGCAUUCCUUGGUAUAGCGUACAAAGCUCGGUGAAGGCGCGGAAAAGAAACCUGCGAUGGUUAGCGAAAUACGCGGGAGGCUAUAAA